CAAAGAACUUUCUUUUACUGCUACUAAUCCUCUUGGAGAUAUAUCUGUCCAUGAUUUCCAUCUUUCUGAAAUAAUUUCAUGAUGUUAGGAGAGAGGGCACAUGACAAACUUUGUUCGUACUAGUCUUGAUUUUAUAUACCUUUUAUGUUCUUCCAAAUUUCACUUGUGUUAAUUUAACUAUUUUUAUGAGGAGGAUUCAUAUUUGAUUAAAUGACCUGAUUGUGAUUGUCAUCAUCACCUUAUAAUACACCAAAACUUUGAUAAGUUUAUAUAGGCUCUACUAUCCAAGUAAAAGAAGUAGAUAUUAAAAGAAGAUGAAGGGAAAAAUCCUACAUAUAAUUUGAAGGUUAAAGGGUACCCGUAGGAUAAAGAAUUACCAAAAAUUGUUAGUUAGAUAAGGGUAAAUUUUAAAAUCCACAGUUGGUUAAUAGCAGCAGUGCAGGAGCUGUAAUAUGUAAUAUUUAAUUUGAUGAGUUCCUGAAACAAGAUGUUAGCAAUCCCUUGCAGAUUCUGAUUUGUGGCCUAUCUUACCCUUAUUGUUAGUUGUAGCAUAACUUUAUUCUUAAUAAAGAAACAGGCAAAACUAUGAGUGGGAGUUCUCCCAUGUAAUUUAUAUAUAUGAAGUUCUUGGUUUUGUCAGAAAAUGGAGAAAGCCUUGCACGAUCGCUUCAAAGAAAAAAGGAAGGAAAGAAGAAAUCUCACUCUUAUUGUGUGUUUUCCUGUAGUUUGUUGUACCUUUUCAUUUGGUUCUUUUCUUCCUGCAAGUGGAAAAGCUGCACUGUUUUUUGAGCAUUCUGCGACAACUUGAGGUGCUCUGAAGGAAUCUCGAAGUUCGUUCAUUCUUGCACUUCUAUACAGUCUCUCUGGGUGGUUCUGUGCUUUUGUUGAGCAGUUUUUGUUCCCCUUAUUUUCUUUUUGUAACAAUAUAAAAAUGCGAUUUUCUAUGAUGCUUGAUUUGCUAUUACUUGAGGAUUUCUUAGUAAAAACCUGUAUUCUAUUCA